CAAAUACUCCCUCCGUCCAGAAAUACUUGUCAUCAAAAUGAAUAAAAGGGGAUGUAUCUAGAUGUAAUUUAGUUUUAGAUACAUCACUUUUUGUCCAUUUACCGAAAAAGGCUUUCGCCCCGCUUUAUAAAUAAAGCAAUGACCAUUUUGAUGACAAGUAUUUUCGGACGGAGGGAGUAUUUA
rfam:Triticum aestivum genome assembly, contig: Triticum_aestivum_CS42_TGACv1_scaffold_227024_3B